UACGUAGGGUGCAAGCGUUGUCCGGAAUUAUUGGGCGUAAAGAGCUUGUAGGCGGUUUGUCGCGUCUGCUGUGAAAUUUCGGGGCUCAACCCCGAACUUGCAGUGGGUACGGGCAGACUAGAGUGUGGGAGGGGAGACUGGAAUUCCUGGUGUAGCGGUGAAAUGCGCAGAUAUCAGGAGGAACACCGGUGGCGAAGGCGGCGUCCUGGACAAACACUGACGCUGAUGAGCGAAAGCCAGGGGAGCAAACGGG
rnacentral:rRNA from 1 species